rnacentral:lncRNA from 10 species
UGUGCAAAGCCCUGCCCUUGGUGACCCGCCUUUAGUGACCAGUCUGCCUCUUGGGUCUUCCUCCCAGGCCUUGUCUGGCACGUCCACGUGGCCCAGCCCUCAUAGAGACCACGCUGGCUGUGGCCUGGGUUUAAUCUCUUAAAGAAGCCAAUCCUUUCCUUGCCUGUUUGGCAUUUCCUAAAACAUCCCUCAAUGAGGGAGGAAGGCAGGGACACCCUGGAACGAUUCGUGCUUUCCUUUGGGGGAGUGGGAAGGUAGGUGGGAAAUGACAAGAUGAGUGAGGAGUUGGCACUUGGCCAAACAGAGGAGCCUGGACCCCAAGGCUUAUUCUCAGAGGAGGCCCAAGAGAGGCUGAGGAAGAGGGGGAACAACCCUCCGGCGGGGGAGGAGGGUGAGACCUCACACUGGCAAGUUCAGGUCCAGCCACUUCCUGAGGCUGCUGGGUGGGGCCGCACCUCACGGUCCUUCCCUGUAGACCAUCUUCCCGGGCACAUUGCUCCUCAGAAAAGGCUCUGGGAGGGUCUCAGUGGAAGCUGGCAGCUGUGCCCUCUGGCCCUGACUUGGCCUCUUAGGGUAUUCCUGGGACCCUCCCUCUGUCCCUGGCCUUCGUCUUCCUGAAGUUUCCCUGGGAGGCCCAACCUCCUGCCCCUCUCAGGGACAGAGGCCAGCAGAGGAGCCAGCUUACAGGAUGGGAGCUGCUGAAAAGAAUUUUUUUCCCUUAAUUUUAUGAACCUCUCCCUCUUCUUCCUCUAAUUGUGACCGUUUCCUGUGUCAGCCUGUAUUCAUGUUUUCUUGGACAUCUAACAAUUGAAACAGCUUUUCCCUUUCAGAAACACUCACAUUCAGGUUACUGGCUUUGGUUUGGUUUUUGUUUUGGGUUUGUUUUUUUUUUUUUUCAUCUGCUGCCAAUUAAUUGGGGAAAAAAUUGAGCUGGAUUUCUUUGAGAGAAAAGAAAAGCUCCUGCCACACAACGUCGCGCCCUCGGCAUUUUGUCUGAGAACCUCCAGCACUAGCGGCUGUUUCUGUGUCUCCCUUCUUUGCUGGCUUUAUUAUUGACCAUAAUGCCUGCCCACUUGAGCAACUCUGUCCUUGAGCGCUGAGGAGUCAAGGGCCCUUCUGGCAGCCCCCCAAACAGGAUGGCGCCCACAGAAAGAAAGGAGGCUUUGUAGGGGAAGAGGGCCCCACCGCCUGCCAGUCCCGUCCUGAAGUCAGAAGAAUGGCCCAGGCUGACACCCUCUCCUGGAGAGAGGCUCACAGCGUAGCUGUUCCCAGGAAAGGGGUGCAAAGACUCCGAGGCUUCAGGAGGCAGGCCCUGUCCUCACAGGGCGGCUGUGGGCCGGGGCCCCUCUGUGGCCUGAGAGUGAGCAGGAGGGAAACCUGAAGCAGCUACCCGCAAGGCGUCCGGUCAACAGGGUGGAGCUGCAGGCUCCCUCUGCCCAUUCCCAGAACCAGCGGCCCCCUUUGUAAGAUGCUGAACACGAAGUUCCGGUAGCUCCCCAGACGCUGUCUCAGAAGUGGUGAUAUCAUUGACCAAGGGCCUGGCAAGGACCGGCAGCCAGGGUCCCCAUUUGCUCUUGCAGCCCUAGGGACUGUGCAGGUAGAAGCCCUGCCAGCAGAGCAGGCUGGCGUUUGGUGUUGGCCCACAGACACCCGUGAAGGGUCAUGGCCGAAUCAGGCAGCUGUCCAGCCAACUGUCUCUCCACCCUUCCAGAAUUGGUGAUCAGCGAAGACCAAAUUCGGCAAGCCAUCCAGAGGGAGUGCAGGGCGCACAGUCUUAGAUGUGGGCGCACCUCCCAGAACCCCACGGGGACUUGUUCACAGGCGCGCUUGCAGGAGGGCAAGCCCCUUGGUCCUGGAACACAGGUGCCCCUUGGCCUUUCCACCUCCCUCCUUGGGGCUGUUUGCAUCCCUGCCAGGAGCCUUAAACCAGCCACCUACUGCUGAAGUCUCUUGUAACAUUCCAAAUCUAUGUGACACACUGUAUAAUGAUGAAUAUUUAAUGUGAAGCUCUUAAUAUACUACAAGUGUCUUGUUU